rnacentral:rRNA from 1 species
UACCAGCACCCCGAGUGGUCGGGACGUUUUUAUUGGGCCUAAAGCAUCCGUAGCCGGUUCUACAAGUCUUCCGUUAAAUCCACCUGCUUAACAGAUGGGCUGCGGAGGAUACUAUAGAGCUAGGAGGCGGGAGAGGCAAGCGGUACUCGAUGGGUAGGGUAAAAUCCGUUGAUCCAUUGAAGACCACCAGUGGCGAAGGCGGCUUGCCAGAACGCGCUCGACGGUGAGGGAUGAAAGCUGGGGGAG